rnacentral:rRNA from 1 species
UACCAGCACCCCGAGUGGUCGGGACGAUUAUUGGGCCUAAAGCAUCCGUAGCCGGUUCUACAAGUCUUCCGUUAAAUCCACCUGCUUAACAGAUGGGCUGCGGAGGAUACUAUAGAGCUAGGAGGCGGGAGAGGCAAGCGGUACUCAGUGGGUAGGGGUAAAAUCCGUUGAUCCAUUGAAGACCACCAGUGGCGAAGGCGGCUUGCCAGAAUGCGCUCGACGGUGAGGGAUGAAAGCUGGGGAGCAACCGGG